GACGAACGCUGGCGGCGUGCUUAACACAUGCAAGUCGAACGAUGAACUUGGAGCUUGCUCUGGGAGAUUAGUGGCGAACGGGUGAGUAACACGUGAGUAACCUGCCCUGGACUCUGGGAUAACUUCGAGAAAUCGGAGCUAAUACCGGAUAGGACCUUGCACCGCAUGGUGUGGGGUGGAAAGUUUUUCGGUUUGGGAUGGACUCGCGGCCUAUCAGCUUGUUGGUGGGGGAAUGGCUCACCAAGGCGUCGACGGGUAGCCGGCCAGAGAGGGGGACCGGCCACACUGGGAGUGAGACACGGCCCAGACUCCUACGGGAGGCAGCAGUGGGGAAUGUUGCACAAUGGGCGCAAGCCUGAUGCAGCAACGCCGCGUGCGGGAUGACGGCCUUCGGGUUGUAAGCCGCUUUUAGUAGGGAAGAAGCCUUCGGGUGACGGUACCUGCAGAAAAAGGAACGGCUAACUACGUGCCAGCCGCCGCCGUAAGAC
rnacentral:rRNA from 1 species